rnacentral:rRNA from 1 species
GGCGAACGCUGGCGGCGUGCUUAACACAUGCAAGUCGAACGGAAAGGCCUCUUUCGGGGGGUACUCGAGUGGCGAACGGGUGAGUAACACGUGAGUAACCUGCCCUUGACUUUGGGAUAACUUCAGGAAACUGGGGCUAAUACCGGAUAGGAGCUCCUGCUGCAUGGUGGGGGUUGGAAAGUUUCGGCGGUUGGGGAUGGACUCGCGGCUUAUCAGCUUGUUGGUGGGGUAGUGGCUUACCAAGGCUUUGACGGGUAGCCGGCCUGAGAGGGUGACCGGCGACAUUGGGACUGAGAUACGGCCCAGACUCCUACGGGAGGCAGCAGUGGGGAAUAUUGCACAAUGGGUGGAAGCCUGAUGCAGCAACGCCGUGUGCGGGAUGACGGCCUUCGGGUUGUAAACCGCUUUCGCUCAUGACGAAGCUUUGUGUGACGGUAGUGGGUAAAGAAGCACCGGCUAACUACGUG